rnacentral:rRNA from 1 species
UGUCUCAGUUCGGAUUGGAGUCUGCAACUCGACUCCAUGAAGCUGGAUUCGCUAGUAAUCGCGCAUCAGCCAUGGCGCGGUGAAUACGUUCCCGGGCCUUGUACACACCGCCCGUCAAGCCAUGGAAGCCGGGAGUGCCUGAAGUGUGCAACCGCAAGGAGCGCCCUAAGGUAAAACUGGUGACUGGGGCUAAGUCGUAACAAGGUAAC